rnacentral:tRNA from 1 species
GUCUCGGUGAUCUAGUGGUCAAGACGCCCGCCUGCUAAACACGAGGGCGUGGGUUUGAUCCCAGCCGAGGCA